CGUACGCUGGCGGCACGCCUAACACAUGCAAGUCGAACGCAGUAGCAAUACUGAGUGGCAGACGGGUGAGUAACAUGUGGGAAUCUGCCUUGUGGUUCAGGACAACAUUGGGAAACCGAUGCUAAUACUGGAUAAGCCCUUACGGGGAAAGUUUUAAUGCCAUAAGAUGAGCCCGCAUUUGAUUAGUUAGUUGGUGAGGUAAUGGCUCACCAAGACAAUGAUCAAUAGCUGAUCUGAGAGGAUGAUCAGCCACACUGGGACUGAGACACGGCCCAGACUCCUACGGGAGGCAGCAGUGGGGAAUCUUGCACAAUGGAGGAAACUCUGAUGCAGCGAUGCCGCGUGAGUGAAGAAGGCCUUUGGGUUGUAAAGCUCUUUUGUAGGGGAAGAUAAUGACUGUACCCUAAGAAUAAGGUCCGGCUAACUUCGUGCCAGCAGCCGCGGUAAUACGAAGGGACCUAGCGUAGUUCGGAAUUACUGGGCGUAAAGCGCGCGUAGGCCGUUGAGUUAGUUAAUUGUGAAAUCCCAAAGCUUAACUUUGGAACUGCAAUUAAAACUGCUCGACUAGAGUUUGAUAGAGGAAAGCGGAAUACAUAGUGUAGAGGUGAAAUUCGUAGAUAUUAUGUAGAACACCAGUUGCGAAGGCGGCUUUCUGGAUCAACACUGACGCUGAGGCGCGAAAGUAUGGGUAGCAAAGAGGAUUAGAUACCCUCGUAGUCCAUACCAUAAACGAUGAUUGCUAGAUGUUGGAAAUUUAUUUUCAGUAUCGCAGCUAACGCAUUAAGCAAUCCGCC
rnacentral:rRNA from 1 species